rnacentral:rRNA from 1 species
UACGUAGGGGGCUAGCGUUGUCCGGAUUUAUUGGGCGUAAAGAGCGUGUAGGCGGCCAGACAGGUCCGUUGUGAAAACUCGAGGCUCAACCUCGAGACGCCGAUGGAAACCGUCUGGCUAGAGUCCGGAAGAGGAGAGUGGAAUUCCUGGUGUAGCGGUGGAAUGCGCAGAUAUCAGGAGGAACACCAAUAGCGAAGGCAGCUCGCUGGGACGUUACUGACACUGAGGCGCGAAAGCGUGGGGAGCGAACAGG